rnacentral:lncRNA from 1 species
AGUUUGAAUGUUUUUAUUGUAUUUUAAUCUGUUUUUAUGGAGUUGUCCCUGGCCACGUCGAUGGUUGAGUUACCUGGGGAGCCCAUGGGUGCUGCCAUUGGGGUGGUCAUGGGCAACGGACGUUACAGCAGUGGGGGUUUAACGUGUCCGCAUAGGAGGGAAAGAUGGUUGACACCUGUCCCUCCUUCUGGUUUUACCCCCAGCCAGAGGGUUCCAGGUAGUCUUGUCAACCGCCCCCCGGGCCUGACGGUGCUGCUGCUCAAUGCCAGGUCGGUCCACAAUAAAUCGUCCCUCAUCCACGACCUGAUCGUGGAUGAGGGGGCCAACGUGGCUUGCAUAACAGAGACCUGGGCGGGAGUGGGGGGGAUGUCGCCCUCUCUCAAAUGUGCCCACCCGGGUAUCUGGUCCAGCACCGUCCAUGCCUGGAAGGGAGGGGAGGGGGGUUGCUUUGGUUUACUGAACCUCAUCUCCCUCACGGGGCUUCCAGUCCCCUCGAGGCUAGGGCUAGAGUGCCUCUACUUGGUGUCGGGUGACCGAGACAGAUUGGGGAUUCUGUUGGUGCACCGUGCACCCUUCUGCCCAACAGUCUCCCUGCCUGAGCUGACAGAGACCAUCUCGGACCUGGUGUUGAGGACCCCCAGGAUGUUCGUCCUGGGGGACUUCAAUCUCCAUGCCGAGACUGUUCUGACUGGGGCAGCUCAGGACUUCAUGGCCUCCAUGGGGCUGUCUCAACAUGUCACAGGCCCAACCCCUUCUGGAUAGGCUAGCGGGAUUGGGGGUCGGAGGCACUGCUUUGCAGUGGUUCCGCUCCUAUCUCAGCGGCCGAUUCCAGAAGGUGGUGCUGGGGGACUGUGGCUCUGUGCCAUGGCAGCUAUGCCAUGGAGUUCCAGCUCUGCCAUGGAGUACUGCAGGGGUCCAUUUUGUCCCCCUUGCUAUUCAACAUCUAAUGAAACCGCUGGGAGAGGUCAGCAGGAGGUGUGGGCUGUGGAAUCAUCAGUAUGCUCAUGAUAACCAGCUCUACCUCUCAUUUUCUAUCAAUCCAGGUAUGCAGUGGCUGUACUGAACCGGUACC